rnacentral:lncRNA from 1 species
AUGAUUCGUUGGAACUUAUGCCUCAAGUACCACCUAGAAUAGUAGAGUUGGAAGAGACCUCAUGGGCCAUCCAGUCCAACCCCCUGCCAAGAAGCAGGAAAUCGCAUUCAAAGCACCCCCGACAGAUGGCCAUCCAGCCUCUGCUUAAAAGCCUCCAAGGAAGGAGCCUCCACCACAGCCCGGGGGAGAGAGUUCCACUGUCGAACAGCUCUCACAGUGAGGAAGUUCUUCCUGAUGUUCAGGUGGAAUCUCCUUUCCUGUAGUUUGAAGCCAUUGUUCUGUGUCCUAGUCUGCAGGGUAAGAACUGGUGGGAUCACAAAGUCCUGGAACACAACACACCAGACAUCACAGUUGUGGAAAAGAAAAAGGUUUAGAUCAUUAAUGUUGCCAUCCCAGGUGACAGUCGCAUUGACGAACAACAACAGGAAAAACUCAGCUGCUAUCAGGACCUCAAGAUUGAACUUCAAAGACUCUGGCAGAAACCAGUGCAGGUGGUCCCGGUGGUGAUCGGCACAUUGGGUGCCAUGCCAAAGUCUUUGAAGUUCAGUCUUGAGGUCCUGAUAGCGGCUGAGUUUUUCCUGUUGUUUUUCAUCAAUGCGACUGUCACCUGGGAUGGCAACAUCAAUGAUCCAACCCUUUUUCUUUUCCACAACUGUGAAGUCUGGUGUGUUGUGUUCCAGAACUUUGUCAGUCUGGAUUCAGAAGUCCCACAGUAUCUUUGCGUGCUCAUUUUCCAAUACUUUUGCAGGUUUGUGAUCCCACCAGUUCUUUACUGCUGGGCGGUGGUACUUGAGGCAUAAGUUCUAAUGGAUCAUUUGGGCCACAUGGUUGUGCCUCUGUUAGUAGUCUGUCUGUGCGAUUUUUUUACAGCAGCUGAGGAUAUGAUCAAUGGUUUCGUCGCUUUCCUUGCACAGUCUGCAUUUUGGGUCAUCAGCUGAUUUUUCAAUCUUGGCCUUAAUUGCAUUUGUUCUGAUGGCUUGCUCCUAAGCUGCAAGGAUCAGGCCUUCUGUCUCCUUCUUCAGGGUCCCAUCGUGAGCCAUAGCCAGGUCUUCUCCUUAUCAGCUUUUCCUUCAAUUUUGUCAAGGAACUAAUUAAUAAUAAUAAUAAUAAUAAUAAUAAUAAUAAUAAUAAUAAUAAUAAUAAAGCUUUAUUUGUACCCUGCCACCAUCUCCCUGAAGGAUACACAACAAGAUUAGUACACAACAACCCAGAUCAAUAUGCUGGCUGUUGU